CUACGGGGCGCACCAGUGGGGAAUAUUGCACAAUGGGCACAAGCCUGAUGCAGCCAUGCCGCGUGUAUGAAGAAGGCCUUCGGGUUGUAAAGUACUUUCAGCGGGGAGGAAGGGAGUAAAGUUAAUACCUUUGCUCAUUGACGUUACCCGCAGAAGAAGCACCGGCUAACUCCGUGCCAGCAGCCGCGGUAAUACGGAGGGUGCAAGCGUUAAUCGGAAUUACUGGGCGUAAAGCGCACGCAGGCGGUUUGUUAAGUCAGAUGUGAAAUCCCCGGGCUCAACCUGGGAACUGCAUCUGAUACUGGCAAGCUUGAGUCUCGUAGAGGGGGGUAGAAUUCCAGGUGUAGCGGUGAUAUGCGUAGAGAUCUGGAGGAAUACCGGUGGCGAAGGCGGCCCCCUGGACGAAGACUGACGCUCAGGUGCGAAAGCGUGGGGAGCAAACAGGAUUAGAUACCCGAGUAGUC
rnacentral:rRNA from 1 species